UAAGGUAGAGUUUUUGGAAUUUGGAAAAUUUAAAGUACAAAGUGUUUUGGUAAGUGGUAAGUUCUAUGUUGUGUCUUGUAAUGAACUAUGUGAUGAGCAAUGUCACACUGGAUACUGUAACAUCUGUAAAAUAUGUUUUCAUAAAUACAGAUGUGAGUGUCCAGAAAAUUCUGUCUAAACAGUACUUUGUAAACAUAUAUGUACAUGCUGUAGCCAUUUUUGAGCAGAGGAGCGAGUUUGUUGUAGGUUCCCCAACUGUGAGUAAAGAGGAAGAGGAUAAUGUUUUGUUUGUUGAUCAACCCACAACUAGCCAAAUCAAUUAUCAGGAGGAUGUAAACCAUUUUAUUCAGGAGAGUUCAAAAAUGAAAGUCAAUAGUUCUGCAAUGGACUUUGAAGAAAAUCGAGAAAUUGCAUUGCAAGAGAUUUGUAGCUAUGGUAGAAGUUUAGAUAAAAAUGCAUUUGCCAGAUUUAUGGCUGUAAUCAACAAAUUUAAAAAUAAAGAAGUGGAGGAAGAAAAUUCUCAGGGCAUUGAAAAGAAAAGAAAAAUUGAAAAACAAAUGUACUAUCCAAAUAAAAAAUAAGCUAGAUUUCUUUGUGUAUUUAAUGGCUAGGGUGCAGAAAAGCUAAUUGGAUUAACUUGAAAUUGGCAUCGAACGAGGGGGAAGAUCCUCUAUGAGUAUAUAUUUAUGAAUUAAAAUGUAUACAGAGCAGUAAUUUUUUUCCAUGUUACUAUUUUAUGGAAGUUUGAAUGGUUUGGGCUGUAUAUACAUGACGAGCCGAGAUGACAAAUAAGCUAAAGAAGUGCGAGUCUACAUACUACAUACUAUAUACCAGAUUAAUACAUUUAGCCUCUUUGCAUUUAAUUUUGAGGUUGU